rnacentral:rRNA from 1 species
GUGGGGAAUAUUGGGCAAUGGGCGAAAGCCUGACCCAGCAACGCCGCGUGAUUGAAGAAGGCCUUCGGGUUGUAAAGAUCUUUAAUUGGGGACGAAAUAAAUGACGGUACCCAAAGAAUAAGCUCCGGCUAACUACGUGCCAGCAGCCGCGGUAAUACGUAGGGAGCAAGCGUUAUCCGGAUUUACUGGGUGUAAAGGGCGAGUAGGCGGGCCGACAAGUUGGGAGUGAAAUCCGGGGGCUUAACCCCCGAACUGCUUUCAAAACUGUUGGUCUUGAGUGAUGGAGAGGCAGGCGGAAUUCCCAGUGUAGCGGUGAAAUGCGUAGAUAUUGGGAGGAACACCAGUGGCGAAGGCGGCCUGCUGGACAUUAACUGACGCUGAGGCGCGAAAGCGUGGGGAGCAAACAGGAUUAGAAACCCGAGUAGUCC